GGGUUGUGAGGUUAAGCGACUAAGCGUACACGGUGGAUGCCCUGGCAGUCAGAGGCGAUGAAGGGCGUGCUAAUCUGCGAUAAGCGCCGGUAAGGUGAUAUGAACCGUUAUAACCGGCGAUACCCGAAUGGGGAAACCCAGUGUGACUCGUCACACUAUCAUUAACUGAAUCCAUAGGUUAAUGAGGCGAACCGGGGGAACUGAAACAUCUAAGUACCCCGAGGAAAAGAAAUCAACCGAGAUUCCCCCAGUAGCGGCGAGCGAACGGGGAGGAGCCCAGAGCCUGAAUCAGCAUGUGUGUUAGUGGAAGCGUCUGGAAAGGCGCGCGAUACAGGGUGACAGCCCCGUACACAAAAGCGCAUGUGCUGUGAGCUCGAUGAGUAGGGCGGGACACGUGGUAUCCUGUCUGAAUAUGGGGGGACCAUCCUCCAAGGCUAAAUACUCCUGACUGACCGAUAGUGAACCAGUACCGUGAGGGAAAGGCGAAAAGAACCCCGGCGAGGGGAGUGAAAAAGAACCUGAAACCGUGUACGUACAAGCAGUGGGAGCACAGGUUUACCUGUGUGACUGCGUACCUUUUGUAUAAUGGGUCAGCGACUUAUAUUCUGUAGCAAGGUUAACCGAAUAGGGGAGCCGGAGGGAAACCGAGUCUUAAUUGGGCGUUAAGUUGCAGGGUAUAGACCCGAAACCCGGUGAUCUAGCCAUGGGCAGGUUGAAGGUUGGGUAACACUAACUGGAGGACCGAACCG
rnacentral:rRNA from 1 species